AAUCAAGUGCCUUAAGGGUGUUCGGUGGAUGCCUUGGCGCUGAGAGGCGAUGAAGGACGUGCUACGCUGCGAUAAGCCGUGGGGAGCUGCGAAGAAGCUUUGAUCCGCGGAUUUCCGAAUGGGGAAACCCACCUUCGAUAGCCGGAACUCCAAGACCUUGUGUGUUGGGGUUCGACCAGAAAUGCGAGAAAUCAAACCGCGAGGUUUUGGAUUUCCGGUUAUCAAGAGAAGGUAUGAGACCUCCGAAUAAAAUAGGAGGUUUUAAGCAAACCCAGGGAACUGAAACAUCUAAGUACCUGGAGGAAAGGACAUCAAUCGAGACUCCGUUAGUAGUGGCGAGCGAACGCGGACCAGGCCAGUGAUACAUCAAAGACAAUCGGAACCUGUCAGGAAAGCAGGGCCUCAGAGGGUGAUAGCCCCGUACGAGUAAUGCGAUGAUGUAUCCACGAGUACGGCGGAAC
rnacentral:rRNA from 1 species